UACGUAGGGUGCAAGCGUUAAUCGGAAUUACUGGGCGUAAAGCGUGCGCAGGCGGUUAUGCAAGACAGAUGUGAAAUCCCCGGGCUCAACCUGGGAACUGCAUUUGUGACUGCAUGGCUAGAGUACGGUAGAGGGGGAUGGAAUUCCGCGUGUAGCAGUGAAAUGCGUAGAUAUACGGAGGAACACCGAUGGCGAAGGCAAUCCCCUGGACCUGCACUGACGCUCAUGCACGAAAGCGUGGGGAGCAAACAGG
rnacentral:rRNA from 1 species